CUGGAAUCCACAGCUCAGUAGUCCAUCCCAUCCUUGCAUUAGCAGACUGUGGUGGAGGUAGAUCUUGCAUCUCCUCAUCCUCAGGCACUUCCUCCUGAGCUUCCACCCUUGAUUCCUCAUCUUCCAGCUCAGGAACUCCAUCCACAUGCUGUCCUCCUAGGUUGAACAUGGCACGGUACUCCUCAGCAGCCAUGCGUGCAGCACUACGGGU
rnacentral:lncRNA from 1 species